rnacentral:rRNA from 1 species
AGUUCAAGACCAUACAAUAUACCGUUGCAAUAUUUAAAAGAGAUCACAGAUAACUUCUCCGGCAAGCGAAUACUUGGCCAUGGUGGUUUUGGUGUGGUAUAUAAGGGAGUGGAGAGAAAUGGGGAAAUGAUUGCUGUGAAGAAGAUCAUGUCGUCGUUAAAGCCAGGCCUGCAGGAUCAGUUCGAGAGCGAGGUCUGUCAUCUUACCAUGCUUCAGCACCCCAAUAUAGUGUGAUGUCUAGGCCACUGCUAUGAAAUACAGAAAGAGUGUUUGCCAUACGAUGGGAAAUACGUCUUUGCUGAGAUGGCAGAAAUGUUACUUUGCUUGGAGUAUAUGUCAAAUGGAAGCCUUGAUAAGCAUAUAUCAAAUGAAUCUUCUGGACUUGAUUGGAGCACACGGUACAAUAUAAUUGAGGGGAUUUGCUAUGGUUUAUGUCACCUUCAUGAAGAUGUCGAUAAGCCUAUUAUCCACCUGGAUCUGAAACCGGCGAACAUAUUGCUUGAUGACGGUAUGACACCAAAAAUCACAGACUUUGGUCUGUCCAGACUACUUUACCAAGAACAAACUAUCUGCACUAAAUCUCGUGAUGGAACAUUAGGUUACAUGGCACCAGAAUUUAUACUUGGAGGUAAAAUUACACCGAAGUCAGACAUAUUCAGUUUGGGUGUCAUAAUCUUGGAGGUAGUAACAGGACACAGGGACUACCCAGACGUUACUAUAACACCAUCAGAUGACUUUAUCAAGCUUAUGCUUAAGAAAUGGAGAAAUGUGUUGCAGAGAUCGCCAAGGUAUUUAUUCCUAGAAACAGUUUGCGAACAAAUAAGGAGAUGCAUUCAGGUAGGUAUGAUCUGCGUGCAUCCAGACCGCACCAAGAGGCCUUCGAUAAAAAAGGCUAUCAGUAUGCUCCAGGGAUCAAAAAGUAUCGAGUACAGUAGAAAGAAGGCAAUGUAA